AUUGAACGCUGGCGGCAGGCCUAACACAUGCAAGUCGAACGAGUGGCGGACGGGUGAGUAAUGUCUGUGACACUGCCUGAUGGAGGGGGAUAACUACUGGAAACGGUAGCUAAUACCGCAUACCAUCAGAUGUUCCCAGAUGGGAGUAGCUAGUUGGUGGGGUAACGGCUCACCAAGGCGACGAUCCCUAGCUGGUCUGAGAGGAGGACCAGCGACACUGGAACGGAGACACGGACCAGAAUCCUACGGGAGGAAGCAGUGGGGAAUAUUGCACAAUGGGCGCAAGCCUGAUGAAGCCAGGCCGCGUGUAUGAAGAAGGCCUUCGGGUUGUAAAGUACUUUCAGCGGGGAGGCGUUACCCGCAGAAGAAGCACCGGCUAACUCCGUGCCAGCAGCCGCGGUAAUAC
rnacentral:rRNA from 1 species